rnacentral:lncRNA from 1 species
GACUACUACAGCACUUUGUCUCUCCCCCCCUGCCCCCGCCAUGUCAGUCUGCUAUCCCAUCUCUGUUAAUAUGUUCUUUAUUGUCUUCCUACAGAACAACUCACCUUGGUGUUAUCUUGUGUUAGCUUCAACUAGGCAACUUUUGUAUCUGUAAAUUCAUAGUGUCAACUGUAUGCUUUUGUUCCCCCUAGUUUGCAUGAAGAUUUGUACUUAUCUAUGAAGUCUUUGUUUGUGUAUCAUGGACCAAAAUAUUACCACCCAUCAGAAAAUCCCAGCUGGGUAGAGAGACCAGGAAGCAUUCGUCAAGUUGUUCACAAUGGCUAUCCUCAACUGUGCAGCCAUAUUCUCAGGUGACCCCUGCAAUGGAGCCUGGCUAAGAAGCCUGAGCAGCAAGUGACCUGUGACCCAGGGGUGGAAUGGCUCUUCCAUACCCAGUCAAAGGAGAGGUGGUAUACUAUGU